AGACGACCAAGUGAGAUUGCAGGGGCAGGACUUCUGCUUAAAAUGAAUCCUGGGACAAUAAUAACAGCUACCUUUCACUGGGCCCUCACUUCGUGCCAGGCACUGUGUAAAGGGACUUUACGUUUAAUCUUCACAGUAACCCCUUUGAGUGAGUGCCAGGGCAGGGGCCCUUGGAGUGACUUGGCUGGGGUCUGUGGCCCGAUCCCCCUGCCGUCCCUCAGGACCCGGGCUCUCUGCUGUACAGACCCUCGUGGGCAGCCUCCCCUCGGAACUCGGGCAUCAUGGCCUCAGAGGCUCGGGGUGGUCUGGGGGCCCCUCCGCUGCAGUCUGCCCGAUCCCUGCCGGGCCCCGCCCCCUGCCUCAAGCACUUCCCGCUCGACCUGCGCACGUCUAUGGAUGGCAAAUGCAAGGAGAUCGCCGAGGAGCUGUUCACCCGCUCACUGGCUGAGAGCGAGCUCCGUAGUGCCCCGUAUGAGUUCCCCGAGGAGAGCCCCAUUGAACAGCUGGAGGAGCGGCGGCAGCGGCUGGAGCGGCAGAUCAGCCAGGAUGUCAAGCUGGAGCCAGACAUCCUGCUUCGGGCCAAGCAAGAUUUCCUGAAGACGGACAGUGACUCGGACCUACAGCUCUACAAGGAACAGGGUGAGGGGCAGGGUGACCGGAGCCUGCGGGAGCGUGAUGUGCUGGAACGGGAGUUUCAGCGGGUCACCAUCUCUGGGGAGGAGAAGUGUGGGGUGCCGUUCACAGACCUGCUGGAUGCAGCCAAGAGUGUGGUGCGGGCGCUCUUCAUCCGGGAGAAGUACAUGGCCCUGUCCCUGCAGAGCUUCUGCCCCACGACCCGCCGCUACCUGCAGCAGCUGGCUGAAAAGCCUCUGGAGACCCGGACCUAUGAACAGGGCCCCGACACCCCUGUGUCUGCUGAUGCCCCGGUGCACCCCCCUGCGCUGGAGCAGCACCCGUAUGAGCACUGUGAGCCAAGCACCAUGCCUGGGGACCUGGGCUUGGGUCUGCGCAUGGUGCGGGGUGUGGUGCACGUCUACACCCGCAGGGAACCCGACGAGCAUUGCUCAGAGGUGGAGCUGCCAUACCCUGACCUGCAGGAAUUUGUGGCUGACGUCAAUGUGCUGAUGGCCCUGAUUAUCAAUGGCCCCAUAAAGUCAUUCUGCUACCGCCGGCUGCAGUACCUGAGCUCCAAGUUCCAGAUGCAUGUGCUACUCAAUGAGAUGAAGGAGCUGGCCGCCCAGAAGAAAGUGCCACACCGAGAUUUCUACAACAUCCGCAAGGUGGACACCCACAUCCAUGCCUCGUCCUGCAUGAACCAGAAGCAUCUGCUGCGCUUCAUCAAGCGGGCAAUGAAGCGGCACCUGGAGGAGAUCGUGCACGUGGAGCAGGGCCGUGAACAGACGCUGCGGGAGGUCUUUGAGAGCAUGAAUCUCACGGCCUACGACCUGAGUGUGGACACGCUGGAUGUGCAUGCGGACAGGAACACUUUCCAUCGCUUUGACAAGUUUAAUGCCAAAUACAACCCUAUUGGGGAGUCCGUCCUCCGAGAGAUCUUCAUCAAGACGGACAACAGGGUAUCUGGGAAGUACUUUGCUCACAUCAUCAAGGAGGUGAUGUCAGACCUGGAGGAGAGCAAAUACCAGAAUGCAGAGCUGCGGCUCUCCAUUUACGGGCGCUCGAGGGAUGAGUGGGACAAGCUGGCGCGCUGGGCCGUCAUGCACCGCGUGCACUCCCCCAACGUGCGCUGGCUGGUGCAGGUGCCCCGCCUCUUUGAUGUGUACCGUACCAAGGGCCAGCUGGCCAACUUCCAGGAGAUGCUGGAGAACAUCUUCCUGCCACUGUUCGAGGCCACUGUGCACCCUGCCAGCCACCCAGAACUGCAUCUCUUCUUAGAGCACGUGGAUGGUUUUGACAGCGUGGAUGAUGAGUCCAAGCCUGAAAACCAUGUCUUCAACCUGGAGAGCCCCCUGCCUGAGGCGUGGGUGGAGGAGGACAACCCACCCUAUGCCUACUACCUGUACUACACCUUUGCCAACAUGGCCAUGUUGAACCACCUGCGCAGAGGGGCUUCCACACGUUUGUGCUGAGGCCACACUGUGGGGAGGCUGGGCCCAUCCACCACCUGGUGUCAGCCUUCAUGCUGGCUGAGAACAUUUCCCACGGGCUCCUUCUGCGCAAGGCCCCCGUCCUGCAGUACCUGUACUACCUGGCCCAGAUCGGCAUCGCCAUGUCUCCGCUCAGCAACAACAGCCUCUUCCUCAGCUAUCACCGGAAUCCGCUACCGGAGUACCUGUCCCGCGGCCUCAUGGUCUCCCUGUCCACUGAUGAUCCCUUGCAGUUCCACUUCACCAAG
rnacentral:sRNA from 1 species